GUAAAUAUAGUUUAAAAAGAACACUAGAUUGUGAAUCUAGUAAUAAGAGAUCAAACCUCUUUAUUUACC
rnacentral:tRNA from 3 species